rnacentral:tRNA from 1 species
GCCGGGGUGGUGGAACGGUAGACACCGGGGACUUAAAAUCCCCUGCCGAAAGGCGUACGGGUUCAAGUCCCGUUCCCGGCACCA